rnacentral:rRNA from 1 species
UACGUAGGGUGCGAGCGUUGUCCGGAAUUAUUGGGCGUAAAGAGCUCGUAGGCGGCUUGUCGCGUCGACUGUGAAAUCCCGCGGCUCAACUGCGGGUCUGCAGUCGAUACGGGCAGGCUAGAGUUCGGUAGGGGAGACUGGAAUUCCUGGUGUAGCGGUGAAAUGCGCAGAUAUCAGGAGGAACACCGGUGGCGAAGGCGGAUCUCUGGGCCGAUACUGACGUGGAGGAGCGAAAGCGUGGGGAGCGAACAGG